GGUAUUCAGAUGAUCAAGCGUUUGCAGUUAACUUCGUUCUUGUCACCAACCUGAGCACUGCGGGUUACCAAAGGAGUUCUAGCAUGGAACUAUAUUCUGUUUUGCCAAUUUGACUGUACAAUAAACUCUGUCGCUUUGUGCUUCCAGCAAAUUGUGCCUCCUGUGCUUAAUUCUUUCCUGGACCAAGAUAGCAGAGUGCGUUACUAUGCUUGUGAAGCGCUAUACAACAUAGCAAAGGUUGUAAGAGGGGAUUUCAUCAUCUACUUCAACAAUUUUUGAUGCUUUAUGCAAGCUUUCUGCAGAUUCCGAUGCUAAUGUUCAAAGUGCAGCUCACCUUCUUGACAGGCUUGUCAAGGAUAUCGUAACCGAGAGUGACCAGUUCAGCAUAGAAGAAUUCAUACCGCUUUUGAGAGAGCGCAUGAAUGUGCUGAAUCCUUAUGUAAGACAAAUUUUGGUGGGGUGGAUAACAGUGUUAGACAGUGUUCCUGAUAUUGACAUGCUUGGUUUCCUUCCUGAUUUUCUCGAUGGUUUAUUCAAUAUGCUGAGUAAUUUG